rnacentral:rRNA from 1 species
ACGAUCGAAAGAUGUGCUAAUACCGCAUAUGCUCUGAGGAGGAAAGUAGGGGAUCGAAAGACCUUACGCUUUUGGAGCGGCCGAUGUCUGAUUAGCUAGUUGGUGGGGUAAGGGCCUACCAAGGCGACGAUCAGUAGUUGGUCUGAGAGGACGACCAGCCACACUGGGACUGAGACACGGCCCAGACUCCUACGGGAGGCAGCAGUGGGGAAUUUUGGACAAUGGGCGCAAGCCUGAUCCAGCAAUGCCGCGUGAGUGAAGAAGGCCUUCGGGUUGUAAAGCUCUUUCAGUCGAGAAGAAAAGGCUGCAGUGAAUAACUGUAGUUUAUGACGGUAUCGACAGAAGAAGCACCGGCUAACUACGUG